rnacentral:rRNA from 1 species
GUCUGGUGGGUAGUUUGACUGGGGCGGUCUCCUCCUAAAGAGUAACGGAGGAGCACGAAGGUUGGCUAAUCCUGGUCGGACAUCAGGAGGUUAGUGCAAUGGCAUAAGCAAGCUUGACUGCGAGCGUGACGGCGCGAGCAGGUGCGAAAGCAGGUCAUAGUGAUCCGGUGGUUCUGAAUGGAAGGGCCAUCGCUCAACGGAUAAAAGGUACUCCGGGGAUAACAGGCUGAUACCGCCCAAGAGUUCAUAUCGACGGCGGUGUUUGGCACCUCGAUGUCGGCUCAUCACAUCCUGGGGCUGAAGUAGGUCCCAAGGGUAUGGCUGUUCGCCAUUUAAAGUGGUACGCGAGCUGGGUUUAGAACGUCGUGAGACAGUUCGGUCCCUAUCUGCCGUGGGCGCUGGAGAACUGAGGGGGGCUGCUCCUAGUACGAGAGGACCGGAGUGGACGCAUCACUGGUGUUCGGGUUGUCAUGCCAAUGGCACUGCCCGGUAGCUAAAUGCGGAAGAGAUAAGUGCUGAAAGCAUCUAAGCACGAAACUUGCCCCGAGAUGAGUUCUCCCUGACUCCUUGAGAGUCCUGAAGGAACGUUGAAGACGACGACGUUGAUAGGCCGGGUGUGUAAGCGCAGCGAUGCGUUGAGCUAACCGGUACUAAUGAACCGUGAGGCUUAACCUUACAACGCCGAAGCUGUU